AGAGAGAGAGGGGGAGUGUUUGUGGGGCUGGAGGGGUGCAGCACCCUGCCAUUUGGGCUGUCGUAGGCAGGAACGGGAUGACUAAACUGCCUGAUCCUUCCCCAAGCCCAUUCUAGACUUCAUAGAGGGACUGUGAAUGGGGCAGCCCCAGUCUCUGCAGCUGCUGCUUCUGCUCUCUCCCAGGUCAGUGCCCAGGCCAGCAGUCACCGGGCUCCAUCGCACUUCCCCGACCCCAGCCCCAAAGCUGCCUCCUCUGCCCUUCUCUUUCAUCUCCUUUUCCUCCUACAGUAGGACUGGCUUGGGACCAGCUAUCUGAGGGUGAAGUUGUCCAGCGAUGGCUCAGCAAAGGCUCCCAAGGCUUCUUCAUUCAGCAAAGGCCCUUGGGAAAAACCCUUCAUGGCGUCGGAGAACACGCAUGGGGUGGGGAAUUCACUCCUCACUCAGAGAGUUCCCACUCCUCACUGUUACCCUGCUAAGAGCGCAGAGUCAAGAAAGGAGAGGCUGCUUCAGCUCAUGUCUAAGGUUCUGGUCCCUCGGGGGAGGCUGAGGAGUGUCCCUGAGAAUAAUGUGGGAGCACGUUUGCCUCCAUGCCCAACUCCUCCCUCCUCCCUUGGUACCCAUCAGCCUUACUCACAUGUCUCAAGGCCAGUUUGUUUUGGGUCCUCAGCUCUCCUGCAAGAGUCUUCAGGCACUGUAAGUUGAAGGAGGGAGUGGGCAUGCAGGGGAGGGAAGGACUG
rnacentral:sRNA from 1 species